rnacentral:rRNA from 1 species
CACGUAGUUAGCCGGGGCUUCUUAGCCAGGUACCGUCAUUUUCUUCCCUGCUGAUAGAAGUUUACAUACCGAAAUACUUCUUCCUUCACGCGGCGUCGCUGCAUCAGGGUUUCCCCCAUUGUGCAAUAUUCCCCACUGCUGCCUCCCGUAGGAGUUUGGGCCGUGUCUCAGUCCCAAUGUGGCCGUUCACCCUCUCAGGCCGGCUACUGAUCGUCGCCUUGGUGAGCCCUUACCUCACCAACCAGCUAAUCAGACGCGGGUCCAUCUCAUACCACCGGAGUUUUUCACACUGUCCCAUGCGAGACCGUGCGCUUAUGCGGUAUUAGCAGUCAUUUCUAACUGUUAUCCCCCUGUAUGAGGCAGGUUACCCACGCGUUACUCACCCGCCCGCCACUCAGUCAAAUAGACUUCAAACCGAGUAAUCCGUCUUAAGUGCUUCGUUCGACUUGCAUGUGUUAAGCACGCCGCCAGCGUUCAUCCUGAGCCAGGAUCAAACUCU